rnacentral:tRNA from 1 species
GGCGACACAGCUCACUCAUGAGCAAGGCAAACGGUCAAACGGCCGUGACACGGGUUCAAAUCCCGUGGUCGCCACCA